rnacentral:lncRNA from 1 species
GUGUCUAAGUGAGUGGGCUGUGCAUUUGCAAAAGUCCGUGUGUAUUGUGCAAGAGCAUCGUAAACGUGUGUGAGCCUGAACUCACACGUGGUUUUGUGUGCACGUGUGCGUAUGAAAUUCAGCAAAAAAAAAAAAAAAAAAUCCAAAAAAAUCUAGGUCUAGGCAGGGUGCGGACCGAGGGCCCAAGGGCAGGCGUGCAGACCGCUACGACUUUGGCUUUAGGGAGACGCCUUCGGGGCGCAGGGCCCGCCCGAAGACGCGGGUUAGCAUACAGCUCAGCUCCAGGCAGGCGAUGCGGGUUCCCAAUGCGGGCCUACAGAUUACGCGGACUGAGCUGGGAACGGUCCCUGCUGGACAGUUCCGUGCUCUUAAUCCUUCCUCGCCUACGGUCUCUGAUUAUUGAUGCUUGCCGUGUGUCCUAAAAGGGACCGCUUCCGGUUUAUUUGCUUAUGUAUUUAUUAUCUUUAUCAACGUUAUUUUUUGGCAGCUGCCGUGAAGAUGCCAAACCCACCAAGACUGCGCUGCCCCACCUCUCCGAGGCUGUCCUGGGAGUGCGGGUGACCCGCGAGCUCCAGAAUCUUUCCUUAAGGUGGAGCCACAGCGCCACCUCGCGAUCCUCCAGCUUCCCUCCCUCAUGGCCACGGAAGGCUGGCCCUUUCUGGUCCAAGCCCCCAGGGUCCCACACUUACUGGUUUUCCAUGCACUUUCAUUAUUUCCCUUUCUCUCUCUUCAAUGUUCCCUUAUCCUGAGUAUUGAGGUCCCCAAACGCGCCUUUCUACCCCACGUUUGGACAUAGCCGGAAUGUCUACCUCCUUCUCCAUCCGGUGAAGCACUGCUCCCCCUAAAAUCACCAGCUCAAAAGUCACCUCUAUGAAACCUUUUUAGACUUUUCCAACGCAGUCAUUCGUGCCUUUCCCUGGUUUCCCUACUGCUCGCAUCACAUUGGACAGGAAAUGCUAUUUAAACGUUUUUCUCCUCUCCCUAAUCAGGGAGCUCCUCUGAGAGGAGCCAUGGCUGUCCUUGCUUAUUCAACAAUAAAACCUAGUAUAUAUCAAGUGCAUACUAUGGAGCGUUUAAUGCACUGUACUGUGCAAAAACAUAUUGUCUUAUUUCAUUUUCCCAGCAAAAUCAUGAGGAAAGCACGAAUAUUGUUUCCCAUUUUGCAGAUGAAGAAACUGAGGUUAGAGAAAAUAAGUACCCAUCCAAGGUAGCAUUGCAGAGCCUCAUCCAAGUCAGCCUGUCGGAUGCCAGAGCCAACUUUUCUUAACCUCUGACUUGCAGACUUAUUCAGCUGUAUAUCCGUGGGCUUUGUGAUAGGAAAAGACACAGAAUGAGUACUUGUGUGUUUAUGAAUAAAUGUAUCUUUUAAAUUAUUUCUUCUCCUAGAGAGUUGGGUGUGGGAAGGCACUGCAAUUAUCAGAUACUUUGAUUGAAAUGUCACCACAAUUAUUUAUCUCUAAAGAGUAUUCCUCUGCUAAGUAGCUAGGAGACCUUGGUCAAGUCACUUCAUCCUCAGUUUCCUAAGUUCUAAAAGUAGGUUUUCUGUGGAGGAUUAAAUGAGAAAAAAAAAUGUGAAUUACAUGAUAUAUAGCAUUCUAGUCAUUGCUCAGUAAUUAUAAUAACUCGAAACUACUGAAACACACACAAAAAAAACAAAACACAAAAUUGACUUACCCUAGUCACACAGAAUUCCCUGUACCUCUGUAUGAAAUCAUCUUACUGUUAUAUCUUCAUUUUCAUCUUAGACAUGAAUUAUAUAAUAAAUAUUUUUAGUUUAUGGUGGUUAGGGUGUUAAUGUUAACCCUGCUCUGUUACAAAUAUUUAAGGGGUAGUGGGAGAGAUAUAAUCAAACAGUAAACCAGCAAACUUUGCCUCUUGUAAUUUCCUCCUGCUUUGUAGAUCUUUACCAAGAAAGAUUUAAAGAAAGGCUAUAAAAGUACUUAUUGGCCAGGCACGGUGUCUCACUCCUGUAAUCCCAGCACUUUGGGAGUCCGAGGCAGGUGGAUAACCUGAGGUCAGGAGUUCGAGACCAGCCUGGCCAAUAUGGUGAAACCCUGUCUCUACUAAAAAUACAAAAAAUUAGCCGGGCUUGGUGACGGGUGCCUGCAAUCCUAGCUACUUGGGAGGCUGAGGCAGGAGAAUCGCUUGAACCCAGGAGGCAGAGGUUGCAGUGAGCCAAGAUCGCACCAUUGCACUCCACCUGGGCAACAAGAACAAAACUCUGCCUCAAAAAAAAAG